rnacentral:rRNA from 1 species
ACUACGAGCCAAGCUUAAAACCCAAAGGACUUGACGGUACCCCACAUCCCCCUAGAGGAGCCUGUCCUAUAAUCGAUAACCCACGUUUAACCUCACCAUUUUUAGUUAAUCAGCCUGUAUACCUCCGUCGUCAGCUUACCACGUGAGCGUAAGUCAGUGAGCCCAAUGUAUUUCACCAAAACGUCAGGUCAAGGUGCAGUAAAUGAAAUGGAAAGAGAUGGGCUACACUUUCUACUUUAGAAAAAACGAAAAACUACCUAUGAAAUCUAGUUAGAAGGCGGAUUUAGCAGUAAAAAGGAAUCAGCAUGUCCAUUUUAACCCGGCA